GACGAACGCUGGCGGCGUGCCUAAUACAUGCAAGUCGAACGCAGUGGGGACGGGUGAGUAACACGUGGGUAACCUCCCAUCAGAGGGGAUAACACUUGGAAACAGGUGCUAAACCGAUACUGAUGGAUGGACCCGCGGUGCAUUAGCUAGUUGGUGGGGUAACGGCUCACCAGGGCCACGAUGCAUUGCCGACGUGAGGGGGUGAUCGGCCACACUGGGGCUGAGACGCGGCCCAGAGUCCUACGGAAGGCAGCAGUAGGGAAUCGUCGGCAAUGGACGAAAGUCUGACCGAGCAACGCCGCGUGAGUGAAGAAGGUUUUCGGGUCGUAAGACUCUGUUGUUAGAGAAGCGGUAUCUAACAAGAAAGCCACGGCUAACUAGGUGCCAGCAGCCGGGGAAUUC
rnacentral:rRNA from 1 species